rnacentral:rRNA from 1 species
GCGGAAGGAUCAUUCAUUGAGCAUGGUAGGCCAAGCCUACACAAGCCUUUCUACUCUAAGUGAGCCCAUCUGGGCUCACUGUGAUACUGAGAUGGGUCUGAGAAGAAGCCCUUUUAUGAUUUGCUUUCGGGCGUCUCAGCCAGGCUUUCAGCCUUUUUUCAUUCAACUGUGAGUUGGAUGCGCUGUAUCACUCAGUUGGUCAUGUUUGAAAGCAAUCGGACUCUUAGGAGGGGGGGCAUCCCUCUUCUGAGUGUCAAUGAGCCUUUGGGCGAGCCUUUGGGCUCAAACAGGCUCAAACAAAUUCUGUCCAUAAAUCAUGGACUUCAUUUGACAACUUUCAGCAAUGGAUCUCUUGGUUCUCGCAUCGAUGAAGAACGCAGUGAAAUGCGAUAACUGGUGUGAAUUGCAUCCAAGUAACUCUAAUUUACGAAUAACACCAAGUGAAUCAUCGAGUCUUUGAACGCAAUUGCGCCCUCUCGGUCGCUUCCAAUUGGGGGUUGACUCAUAGGGGGUACAUCUGUUCGAGGGUCAUUUGAGUCUCUCAAAAGGGGUUUAUCACUCCUUUGGGUUUUGGGUCUUGCUGUGAAAUUUAUCUCGGCUUACCUUGAAAGCAUUAGCAAGCAUCUCAAGUCUUUUGUGAUGAGGGCGUUCUAAUUGGUCUUGACUGGUCUGUGUAGCCGUGUAAAAGACGUCUAAACAUCAUAGAAAGCGAUGCUAGCUUCCAAUCAUCCCUAUGGGAUGGGCAUUGAGCUCAAUGCCUCCUUCAAUGACCUCGAAUCAGAUGAGAAUACCCGCUGAACUUAAGC